AAUAAAAUGCCUGAAAAAGGGUUAUCUUGAUAGGAUAAAUCAUGUGAUUUCUCUC
rnacentral:tRNA from 1 species